rnacentral:rRNA from 1 species
UACGUAGGGUGCGAGCGUUGUCCGGAAUUAUUGGGCGUAAAGAGCUCGUAGGCGGUGUGUCACGUCGGCCGUGAAAACCUGCAGCUUAACUGUGGGCGUGCGGUCGAUACGGGCAUCACUGGAGUUCGGCAGGGGAGACUGGAAUUCCUGGUGUAGCGGUGAAAUGCGCAGAUAUCAGGAGGAACACCUAUGGCGAAGGCGGCAUCCUGGACCGGCAUUGACGCUGAGGCGCGAAAGCCAGGGGAGCAAACGGG